UGCCCAGCAGCUCCUAUCCCUAACUCCUCGUGGUACUGGCCGGGGUACGAGUAACCUUGGGAAAGUUCGGGCAACCAACCCCAGUGGGAGCCUUGGGUUAUUGCUGACAUGGAAGG
rnacentral:ribozyme from 1 species